rnacentral:rRNA from 1 species
AUGGCCUCCGUCACCUCCUGCUCUUCCACCGUCUUCACCUCCUCCUCCUCCUCCAUACCCUACCGAACAAGGACGCCUCUUCCAUCUCUCCGCCCGCCGCCGCGUCUCGCCGGCCUUCUGGGCCGACUGGUGCUGAGGUGCCUAGCUAAACGCGACCCGGGCGAGCCGCGGCUGCUUAGAGCUCCUGUGGUUUCUGACGAGAGAGAGGCACUGGAGCCGGCAGGUCGGGACAGUGGCGGGCUCGCACCGUCCGAUUCGUCGUGGGGGCUCGCGUUCGCGGCGGCGGCGGGGGUGCUCAUGACCCAGGGGUCGCAGCAGGCGCUGGCCGGCACGCAGUUCAUGGGCCUGCAGCCGCCGGCGGACCUGCUGGGGGAUCUCGGGGACAUCAGUACAGGUUUUGCUUCAGCUUUUCUGCUGAUUUUCUUUUCUGAGCUAGGAGACAGGACGUUUUUCAUUGCGGCACUUUUAGCAGCUAGAAAUUCCGGAGGAGUCAUUUUUCUUGGCACAUUUGGAGCACUUGCGGUAAUGACAGUUAUAUCUGUAGUUCUUGGUCGAGCAUUUCACUACGUUGAUGGCGUCCUUCCAUUCAGUUUUGGCGGUACAGAUUUCCCAAUUGAUGACAUUCUUGCUGUGUGUCUCUUGGUAUACUAUGGAGUUACUACAUUACUUGAUGCAGCUUCAGGUGAUGGAGAAAAGAUGAAUGAGGAACAAGAGGAGGCUGAGAUAGCAGUUUCGAAGUUUUCUGGAAAUGGUGCAGGAUUAGUGUCUGUCGCCAGUACUCUUGCUAGCACAUUUGUUUUGGUUUUUGUUGCUGAAUGGGGUGAUAAAUCAUUUUUCUCAACAAUCGCACUUGCUGCGGCUUCAUCCCCUCCGGGUGUCAUUGCAGGGUCGCUUGCUGGUCAUGGUGUUGCAACAUUGAUUGCAGUUCUUGGUGGCUCUUUGCUGGGGACAUUCCUAUCUGAAAAGAUUAUAGCAUACAUCGGAGGGAGCCUUUUUUUAGCAUUUGCCGCUGUGACACUAGUUGAAAUCGCGACUUCAUGA